AUACGGAGGAUGCGAGCGUUAUCCGGAUUUAUUGGGUUUAAAGGGAGCGUAGAUGGAUUGUUAAGUCAGUUGUGAAAGUUUGCGGCUCAACCGUAAAAUUGCAGUUGAAACUGGCAGUCUUGAGUACAGUAGAGGUGGGCGGAAUUCGUGGUGUAGCGGUGAAAUGCUUAGAUAUCACGAAGAACUCCGAUUGCGAAGGCAGCUCACUAGACUGUUACUGACACUGAUGCUCGAAAGUGUGGGUAUCAAACAGGAUUAGAUACCCUGGUAGUCCACACAGUAAACGAUGAAUACUCGCUGUUUGCGAUAUACAGUAAGCGGCCAAGCGAAAGCAUUAAGUAUUCCACCUGGGGAGUACGCCGGCAACGGUGAAACUCAAAUGAAUUGGCGGGG
rnacentral:rRNA from 1 species